UUUCAACUCUAAACAGUAUCUGCAAUGAAAUUACAUAUUUCUCUUAAGCUAGAAAUUUCCAUCUAACUAAACGGAAAAUCCCCCAACAGAAGGAGACUCAUCAUAAAAAACACAAAAUUACAGAUUCCAACAUUAGAAUUUGAAUCAAAAGAGAAUGAAAAUAAGAAAUUUCAAUAUAAAACAGAGAGAAAUACAUUUGUAAAAUUAAAACUCUAUUGCUCUCAAACUCAGCCAACUCAUUGCAUACAUGGUGGAAAAAUCAAUUGUCCCAAUUGAUUGAUUUGGAAUCUGAUGCCUAAGAAGAAACACGGUAAACAAUUUGAUGAUGGCUCCGUCAAUUCUUACCUAAAGGUUUAUAGGGAGGUCGGAGGCAUUGAGGUUUAUAAGGAUUGAAGGAUGAAGAAGCAACGAAGAAGAAGAAGAAAAAGGAGGGAAUGGGAAGAGUUGGGUUGGCUAUGAGAGAAAGGGGAGUGAAUGGGUG
rnacentral:misc_RNA from 1 species